GACGAACGCUGGCGGCGUGCCUAAUACAUGCAAGUCGACCUUAGUGAAGAACGGGUGAGUAACUUGUGGGUAACAUGCCCAUCAGAAGGGGAUAACACUUGGAAACAGGUUCUAAAACCGGAUACUGAUGGAUGGACCCGCGUUGCAUUAGCUAGUUGGUGGGGUAACGGAUCACAAAGGCGACGAUGCCUCGCCGACCUGAGAGGGUGAUCGGCCACAUUGGGACUGCGACACGGCCCAAACUCCUACGGGAGGCAGAAGUAGGGAAGCUUCGGCAAUGGACGAAAGUCUGACCGAGCAACGCCGCGUGAGUGAAGAAGGUUUUCGGAUCGUAAAACUCUGUUGUUAGAGAAGCGGUAUCUAACCAGAAAGCCACGGCUAACUACGUGCCAGCAGCCGCGGUAAUUC
rnacentral:rRNA from 1 species